AUUUUAAAUAUUAUUAUUAUUAUUAUUAUUUUAAAAUUUGAAAAUGUUGAAUUAUUUAUUAUAUUUUAUAUAAAAAUUAAAAAAAUUAUAAUGAUGAAAUGAAUUGAAAUGAGGUGAAACAUUUUCAACCUCCAAACGGAGUCUUAAGAUUGAAUGAAUGAUACCAAUAGGGAUACAAAAAGCAUCGUAUGGACCCCCAAUCACAGCAAAACCCUAAUCAAUUCCAUCGCUUUGCUUCCUCCGAUCCGAUGCGGCGAUGCCGAUUCUUUAUAUGGACUGGUUUACUCUAGUGAUAUGAUCAGCUUUAUCGAAUUGCAUCCAGUCAUGGCAAAAUUUCGAGCCACAUGAAAGAGUUUAAAGUGAGCUUAUCCGACGAGGGACCAUUGAGAAUAUUACUUUCAGAGAGUUUUGAUAGGAAUGUACAUCCACAGAGUAAAAAGGAGAAGAGAAAAGGAGGAAGAAAGGAUAAGUGAGGAAUGGAGAGGUGAGAAUGGAAUGAUCUAUGGGGAAGUUCCCUCGAUUGCCCAGAAGAUGGAAGGCUUCAUAUAAUUUCUGUACAGUCCAAAGGAGAGUUUUUCCUCUUGUGCUUGUACAUCGCGAGAUUAGUUUAGCUAUCUCCAGACACUGAGUGCCGAUAAAAAAAAAAAAGAAAAAUCUAUGUACAGUUUAUGAUUGUAUUGUUUUAGUUGUGACAUUAUUUGUAGAAUUGGGGUUUUAUUGAAUGAGAUUUUAUUGCAGAAAA